rnacentral:rRNA from 1 species
UACGGAGGGUGCGAGCGUUGUCCGGAAUCACUGGGCGUAAAGGGCGCGUAGGCGGCCUGAUAAGUAGGGGGUGAAAUCCUGCGGCUUAACCGCAGGGCUGCCUUCUAAACUGUCAGGCUUGAGCACAGUAGAGGCAGGUGGAAUUCCCGGUGUAGCGGUGGAAUGCGUAGAGAUCGGGAAGAACAUCAGUGGCGGAGGCGGCCUGCUGGGCUGUUGCUGACGCUGAGGCGCGACAGCGUGGGGAGCAAACAGG